CCAACAUAACAUAGAAAACAAACAAAGCAUAGUGCAUGAGUUAUGGGAAAAUCAGACGAAAAUAAACUCUAAAGAAGACGUCCAAACAAUAUUUAGGAAGCGCCGUUGCAAAGGCAAAGCAUCCAACCAAACAUCAUCAUCAACAUCAUCAGCACCAGCGUAGAGAGCACGGAGAGACAGUUACGUUACGACAUUGAUUGAUAGUUUAUUGUUGCAGGUACCCAUUUAUCGACCAGCCUGAGAGGGAGGAUGAACAGCUGGGUGAGCUGCACGCUGACUGCCCGGGCCGUGAUUCGAACCCAGGCCUGCGGAGUAGAAGCCAGGCACGCUAACCACUAGACCACGGAGGCGUAUAACUUUAAGAGUGACACAGGCUAAAUGAACUUAAUUAUAAUGCUUUUGAAAGUCACUUAAUCUGACUUCAUAUAUAUA